rnacentral:rRNA from 1 species
UACGUAGGUGGCAAGCGUUGUCCGGAAUUAUUGGGCGUAAAGAGCUCGUAGGCGGUCUGUCGCGUCUGCUGUGAAAACUCAGGGCUUAACCCUGAGCUUGCAGUGGGUACGGGCAGACUAGAGUGCGGUAGGGGAGACUGGAAUUCCUGGUGUAGCGGUGAAAUGCGCAGAUAUCAGGAGGAACACCGGUGGCGAAGGCGGGUCUCUGGGCCGUAACUGACGCUGAUGCGCGAAAGCUAGGGGAGCGAACGGG